GAAUUAGUGCCUUCUACCCAUACAACAAUCCGACAAAAGGGAGUUAAUAACUGGAAGGGACUGUGGUCCUGCUGGCCAGCCAUUGUAUCCCCAGCUGCUGUCACCCAGAGGAGGAGCAAAUAAUAAGUGUUUCGAUGAAUAAAUGAAAGCAUGGGUUUCCCACUUUGACAGGUAAGUAUGCCGAGGCUCAGCACUGAAAAGGAGCUGAUUCUGAACAGCCCUUUGUGCUGCUGUGUGUGCUGGCCGGUGCCACAAGCUCAGGUUUGUUUUCUGUGCCGCUCUGUCUCUUUCUGCAUUCAGUCUCCUGGAAGCACUGCCAUGUGGUACUCUUACCAGCCAGUAGGUGGCACUGUACUUAAUAGUUAUAUUUACGUUUAAUAUUUACAUUUAUAUUUCCCAAUUUGUGGCCCCUUCUAAAUAGAAGACCACCACUCUCGAGAAUGUCAGGUAGUUCUUCCCAGUUAAGGUGAAAUAACAAGGCAAACUGGCAUCAUCCCAGUGGCCUCGACGAAAGUAUAGUAUUCAAAACAAAUUGUGAAUUUUUUUUUUUGUUUGCCCAGUGUGGUGGCAUAACCUGCCAUUCCAUCACCUGAGAAGUAGAAAGAGGAGAGUCACAAACUUAAGUCAUCCUCAGACACACAGGGAGUUCAAGGUCAGCCUGGCUAUGAACCACGUCUCAAAAUAAACACACACAAAAUGGCUGCCGUUGGUAGAGUGGCCCUCAAAAUAUGUUCACGUGCUAAUUCCUGUCGGUGUGACCUCACUUGGAAAAAAAAUCUUCGCAGGUGUAAUAAGUGUCUCAAGAUGAGGUCACUCUGGAUUAUUCAGAUAAUUGCCUUAGUCCAAUGUCAAGUGUCCCUGUAAAAAGCAGAAGAGAAAGUUCUGCAAAGACAUAGUCAGAUACCGAGGUGAUGCAGUCAUAGGCCAAAGGCUGCCUGAAGCCACCAAAACCGGAAGAGGCAAUGGAGCUUUCUCUCUUGGACCCUUCGUGGGAAAAGACAGAUUGCCAGCACCUUGAUAUUGGCUCUCUGGCCUCCGGAAUCGUGAAAGAACAGUUUGCCUGUUUGCUGGUUUGUUUGUUUUUGUUUGAGUGGGUACAUGUGUGUGUACGUGUGAGCAUCUGCUAUGUGUGGAUGGGUGCCCUGGAGCCCAGAGGGUGUUGGAUUCGCCAGAGCUGGAACUGCAGGUGAUUGUGAGCUGCUCCACAUGAGUGUUGGGACCUGCACUCAGAUCCCCUGGAAGAACAGCAGGCACUCUUGAUGCUGAGCCAUCUCUACAGCCCCAAAGAACAGUGGCUUCUUACUGGAUUAAUGGCCUGCUCCAUGAAUCACCGUGACUGCCAGAGCAGAACAAAGUGCUGACCGGAGGUUUGUUUCUGCUCUCUCCUGACUCUGCCACCAUCCUGAGCUCCAGGCGAGGAGCAGCUGCCAGGGAAGU